AUGGCCAAUCGGGCUGCCGGCACAGCUCUGUGCCGCCUCUGGUGUCAUGCUUCAUGCCGUGUCGCCAUUGGUCCACUUCAGAAAAAAUGGAUUUUGUCAGUGGUUCAGAAUUGCCACGUACUCAAGUGUACAUCGCCCUCACCGCAGUUUGUUGCAGGUGAGCGCUGGGAACGCCAACGCCAACGCCAACGUCAGAGACAUUAGCUAGUCAGCAGUGCUGAUAUGGGGGUACAAUGUGUGCCAUCAAGAACAGAUGGGAACAUGGACAGCUCCUAACAUUGCGUGACCCCACCCAAUAUGUGCUGCGACUACGGCCUUGUGACUGUCUCAUAAUGAUGACUUAGUAUCUCAUAAUUAUGACUUUUCAUCUCAUCAGUAUGACUUAGUCAUAAUUAUGAUGUAGUAUUUCAAUUGUGAUUCACCAUCUCAUAAUUAUGAGGCAGUAAGUUAUAAUUAUGACAUACCGUUGGUGUUUCUUUUUUCUUCAAGUGAUGAAAAUGGUCUUCCAUCAGAACUAAUGUUACUUUAAAGUGUCUGGUGAAGUAGUUUUCAUGGAAACUGAUUUUAUUUUAUGACCAUUAAAUCAUUUUAAAAAUGAUCAGAAACACA